AAUGAGGGAGGCUCGUCAGACGGGUUUGUUUGUGCUCAGAGGAGCCAAAGGGGAGAGUCCUGGCUGCAGGGAGGGGCAGGGACUGAGGCAGAGAGCGAACCUGGAGAAUGGGUAGCUGCGGCUGCGAAACCAGCUGCAGGCGGAGGGAACCUGCUUCAGGGUUCAGGGGGACUGACUUCUGCCCGAGCUUCAACAUCAACCGUUCCUUGGGUCUGCAGCCUGCCCUCCUCCACAAUCACACAUGUCUGACAUUUAGAGGUGAGGGAUCACCUGCACAGAGGGGAAUCGCUUGGUGCAAGACUGAAAACCGGCAAAUUUAUGGAAACAGUUCGUUCACCUUAUAAUUUGAGAUGAGAAGACCCAGAUUCUGCUCUUGAGCUGAAACAUCUAUGAUACACCAGAAGGGCAGAUGCGCUGUUUGGCAAGUGCACACGAAGUUCCCAGGAAGGCUGCCCUUUGUUUGCUACAGAGAAUAUUUAAUAAGUGCUCAAUAAAUGUCAGCUGUGACGUGUCCCUGCCAUUUACAUGCAUUGCCUCACCACAUACCCCCAUGGGUUGAGGGUCCAUUG